UACGGGGGGGGCAAGCGUUGUUCGGAAUUACUGGGCGUAAAGGGCUUGUAGGUGGCCAACUAAGUCAGACGUGAAAUCCCUCGGCUUAACCGGGGAACUGCGUCUGAUACUGGAUGGCUCGAGUUUGGAAGAGGGAUGCGGAAUUCCAGGUGUAGCGGUGAAAUGCGUAGAUAUCUGGAGGAACACCGGUGGCGAAGGCGGCAUCCUGGACCAACACUGACACUGAAAAGCGAAAGCCAGGGGAGCAAACGGG
rnacentral:rRNA from 1 species